CCUACGGGGGGCAGCAGUGGGGAAUAUUGCGCAAUGGGCGAAAGCCUGACGCAGCGACGCCGCGUGAGGGAUGAAGGUCUUCGGAUCGUAAACCUCUGUUAGCAGGGAAGAAAGGGCACUGUGCUAAUCAGCAGUGAAUUGACGGUACCUGAACAGGAAGCACCGGCUAACUCCGUGCCAGCAGCCGCGGUAAUACGGAGGGUGCGAGCGUUAUCCGGAAUUACUGGGCGUAAAGCGCUCGAAGGCGGUAUGUCAAGUCAAGGGUGAAAUCCCCGGGCUCAACGUGGGAACUGCCUUUGAAACUGGCAGACUGGAGUGUGUGAGAGGAUAGUGGAAUUCCAGGUGUAGGGGUGAAAUCCGUAGAUAUCUGGAGGAACAUCAGUGGCGAAGGCGACUAUCUGGCACAUAACUGACGCUGAGGAGCGAAAGCGUGGGUAGCAAACAGGAUUAGAUACCCGGGUAGUC
rnacentral:rRNA from 1 species